rnacentral:rRNA from 1 species
GAUGAACGCUGGCGGCGUGCCUAAUACAUGCAAGUCGAGCGAACGGACGAGAAGCUUGCUUCUCUGAUGUUAGCGGCGGACGGGUGAGUAACACGUGGAUAACCUACCUAUAAGACUGGGAUAACUUCGGGAAACCGGAGCUAAUACCGGAUAAUAUUUUGAACCGCAUGGUUCAAAAGUGAAAGACGGUCUUGCUGUCACUUAUAGAUGGAUCCGCGCUGCAUUAGCUAGUUGGUAAGGUAACGGCUUACCAAGGCAACGAUGCAUAGCCGACCUGAGAGGGUGAUCGGCCACACUGGAACUGAGACACGGUCCAGACUCCUACGGGAGGCAGCAGUAGGGAAUCUUCCGCAAUGGGCGAAAGCCUGACGGAGCAACGCCGCGUGAGUGAUGAAGGUCUUCGGAUCGUAAAACUCUGUUAUUAGGGAAGAACAUAUGUGUAAGUAACUGUGCACAUCUUGACGGUACCCUAUCAGAAAGCCACGGCUAACUACGUGCCAGCAGCCGCGGUAAUACGUANGUGGGCAGCGUUAUCCGGAANUUAUGGGCGUAAAGCGCGCGUAGCGGUUUUUUAGUCUGAUGUGAAAGCCCACGGCUCAACCGUGGAGGGUCAUUGGAAACUGGAAAACUUGAGUGCAGAAGAGGAAAGUGGAAUUCCAUGUGUAGCGGUGAAAUGCGCAGAGAUAUGGAGGAACACCAGUGGCGAAGGCGACUUUCUGGUCUGUAACUGACGCUGAUGUGCGAAAGCGUGGGGAUCAAACAGGAUUAGAUACCCUGGUAGUCCACGCCGUAAACGAUGAGUGCUAAGUGUUAGGGGGUUUCCGCCCCUUAGUGCUGCAGCUAACGCAUUAAGCACUCCGCCUGGGGAGUACGACCGCAAGGUUGAAACUCAAAGGAAUUGACGGGGACCCGCACAAGCGGUGGAGCAUGUGGUUUAAUUCGAAGCAACGCGAAGAACCUUACCAAAUCUUGACAUCCUUUGACAACUCUAGAGAUAGAGCCUUCCCCUUCGGGGGACAAAGUGACAGGUGGUGCAUGGUUGUCGUCAGCUCGUGUCGUGAGAUGUUGGGUUAAGUCCCGCAACGAGCGCAACCCUUAAGCUUAGUUGCCAUCAUUAAGUUGGGCACUCUAAGUUGACUGCCGGUGACAAACCGGAGGAAGGUGGGGAUGACGUCAAAUCAUCAUGCCCCUUAUGAUUUGGGCUACACACGUGCUACAAUGGACAAUACAAAGGGCAGCGAAACCGCGAGGUCAAGCAAAUCCCAUAAAGUUGUUCUCAGUUCGGAUUGUAGUCUGCAACUCGACUACAUGAAGCUGGAAUCGCUAGUAAUCGUAGAUCAGCAUGCUACGGUGAAUACGUUCCCGGGUCU